UUCGUAGGCGGUUUAAUAAGUUUGUAGUUAAAUCCGGUCGCUCAACGAUCGAAUUGUUGCGAAAACUAUUAAACUAGAGAAUGGUAGAGGCAACUGGAAUUCUGCAAGUAGGGGUAAAAUCCGUUGAUAUGCAGAGGAACACCAAAAGCGAAGGCAGGUUGCUGGGCCAUUUCUGCGCUAAAGGACGAAAGCGUGGGGAGCGAACA
rnacentral:rRNA from 1 species